GCCGGAGUGGCGAAAUGGCAGACGCGCCAGACUCAAAAUCUGGUUCCCGCAAGGGAGUGAGGGUUCAAGUCCCUCCUCCGGUACCA
rnacentral:tRNA from 1 species